rnacentral:misc_RNA from 1 species
AUGAUUGCGAAUGGGUCGCCUUCGGUGCUGGCUCCUUGAGGAGCAAAGUGCACGUUGGUGGCUUUCAUCCAAUACACCCUUGUGAACCUUUUGGCCUCUUGCUAGCUUCGGCUGGCAGAGGAUUUUUUUACACACACACUCGAAUGUAAUGAAAAACUAUUGUCGUGCGCAAGCACUAAUGUA